rnacentral:rRNA from 1 species
GAUGAACGCUAGCGGCAGGCCUAACACAUGCAAGUCGAGGGAGAAGCCCUUUCGGGGGCAGAAACCGGCGCACGGGUGCGUAACGCGUAUGCAACCUACCUUUCACAGGGGGAUAGCCCGAAGAAAUUUGGAUUAAUACCCCAUAAUAUUAUUGGAUGGCAUCAUUUGAUAAUUAAAACUGCGGUGGUGAAAGAUGGGCAUGCGUCCUAUUAGCUAGUUGGAGUGGUAACGGCACCCCAAGGCUACGAUAGGUAGGGGUCCUGAGAGGGAGAUCCCCCACACUGGUACUGAGACAGGGACCAGACUCCUACGGGAGGCAGCAGUGAGGAAUAUUGGUCAAUGGUCGGAAGACUGAACCAGCCAUGCCGCGUGCAGGAAGAAUGCAUUAUGGGUUGUAAACUGCUUUUAUAUGGGAAGAAUAAGGCGUACGUGUACGUUGAUGACGGUACCAUAUGAAUAAGCAUCGGCUAACUCCGUG